rnacentral:rRNA from 1 species
CGGGACGGGUGAGUAACACGUGAGCAACCUGCCUUUCAGAGGGGGACAACAGUUGGAAACAACUGCUAAUACCGCAUAAAAUAACGGAACCGCAUGAUUCUGUUAUCAAAGGAGAAAUCCGCUGAAAGAUGGGCUCGCGUCUGAUUAGAUAGUUGGUGAGGUAACGGCCCACCAAGUCGACGAUCAGUAGCCGGACUGAGAGGUUGAACGGCCACAUUGGGACUGAGACACGGCCCAGACUCCUACGGGAGGCAGCAG